AGUUAUUAUUUAUAUUUAUUAGUUAAUUUAAUUAAAUUACUAUUUAUACCAUAUUAAAAUAAGAUUACUAAUUAAAUUACUAUUUAUAUUUUUUUGUCGCAUGUCGUCAAAUGGGUAUGAAAAGAGUGUUUAAGGUAAACAGUAUGUGAAAAUUUGAAAUAAAAUAAGAUAAGAUAGUAUGUAAGAAAAAAAAAUUAAUAGUAAAAAUUCAAGAUAAAAUUAACAAACACAGCAAAUUAAGGAGAAAAUUAAAAAAAUCAUAGUAAAAGUUCAUAUUGGUAACUUCGUGGGGUCGCAAUGAACUCAACAACUCAAUGCCCCAAGGAGCCAAAGCUCAAGCCAUAGUGACUCUGUGGGGUCAUCUACUUUUUCAAAGUAGCAUGCCAGCUGACGGUACUAUGGCUAAAAGUUUUGCAAGACGCUUCAAGCAAACAAAGUUUUAAGAAAAAUAAAGAUGGAGCAAAGCGAAGAAAGAUGUCAAUUAGCUAAAAGUUCUAUAAGACGCUUUAAGCAAACAAAGUUUCAAGAAAAACAAAGGUGGAUUAAAGGAAAAAAAAACAAUCUAUUAAAUUUCUAGCAAGUUAAUAAACUUGCACGAAGGUCGUCAAAAUUUGACAUAGGCUAAACAAAAUUGACUGCUCAUUAGCAGCUUGGAUGAUCUUAAGCUCUCCAGCAGCUAUCCCGUAUUCAUUAGCCACUUCGCACUCGUUUGCUCGUCUAACACUUCAUCUUCACUCCGAUCUUGGCAUCUUCAACUGUUCCAUUUACAACAGUUGAGCAAUCAAACUCGAGCAGUUCCCUCAUUUUUUGGUGAGCAUCAUAGACAUAGCAGCAGUGGAAGGAGCAGGCUUUGACGCUUCUUUAACAGCUGAAUCCACUUUUCCAAGUGAUAGACUUUCCUCCCCACUUCUCAUAGUGGUGAGCCUUUCAGAAGCUCAUCUAGACUUAACCACAACUGGAUACUUAACUCUAUCUCUGGACCUAAACGUUGGAAACAGUUUGAUGUCAGGCUUU
rnacentral:lncRNA from 1 species